AGUCGAACGAUUCUAUUUAUUAGUUUAGUGGCAAACGGGUGAUUAACACGUAAGUAACCUGCCCUUAAGCAGGGGAUAAUCCGCCGAAAGGUGGACUAAUACCGUAUGUGAUAGUAGAGGUAAUGCACUACUAUUAAAGCCUUCGGGCACUUAAGGAGGGGCUUGCGUCCGAUUAGCUAGUUGGUGGGGUAACGGUUCACCAAGGCGAUGAUCGGUAACUGGUCUGAGAGGACGGUCAGUCACACUGGGACUGAGACACGGCCCAGACUCCUACGGGAGGCAGCAGCGAGGAAUUUUAGUCAAUGGGCGAAAGCCUGAACUAGCGACGCCGCGUGGGGGAUGAAGGUCUUCGGAUUGUAAACCCCUUUUAUCAGGGAGGAAUAAUGACAGUACCUGAUGAAUAAGCAACGGCUGACUACGUGCCAGCAGCCGCGGUGAUACGUAGGUUGCAAGCGUUAUCCGGAUUUACUGGGCGUAAAGCGGGUGCAGACGGUCUUUCAAGUCGGAUGUAAAAUCUCCCGGCUCAACUGGGAGAGCCCGUUCGAUACUGUGAGACUUGAGGACAACAGAGGGAGGUAGAAUUCCCGGUGUAGUGGUGGAAUGCGUAGAUAUCGGGAGGAAUACCAGUGGCGAAGGCGGCCUCCUGGGUUGUUUCUGACGUUCAGACCCGAAGGUGUGGGGAGCAACAGGAUUAGAACCCUGGUAGUCACACUGUAACGAU
rnacentral:rRNA from 1 species